rnacentral:rRNA from 1 species
UGGGGAAUAUUGCACAAUGGGCGAAAGCCUGAUGCAGCAACGCCGCGUGAGUGAUGAAGGCCUUCGGGUUGUAGAGCUCUGUCUUUUGGGACGAUAAUGACGGUACCAAAGGAGGAAGCCACGGCUAACUACGUGCCAGCAGCCGCGGUAAUACGUAGGUGGCAAGCGUUGUCCGGAUUUACUGGGCGUAAAGGAUGCGUAGGCGGAUUUUUAAGUGAGAUGUGAAAUACCCGGGCUUAACUUGGGUGCUGCAUUUCAAACUGGGAAUCUAGAGUGCGGGAGAGGAGAAUGGAAUUCCUAGUGUAGCGGUGAAAUGCGUAGAGAUUAGGAAGAACACCAGUGGCGAAGGCGAUUCUCUGGACCGUAACUGACGCUGAGGCAUGAAAGCGUGGGUAGCAAACAGGAUUAGAUACCCUGGUAGUCCACGCCGUAAACGAUGAGUACUAGGUGUAGGAGGUAUCGACCCCUUCUGUGCCGCAGUUAACACAAUAAGUACUCCGCCUGGGAAGUACGAUCGCAAGAUUAAAACUUAAAUGAAUUGACGGGGUCAUAGC